GUGAAUCAUCAAAUUUUUGAACGCAAAUUGCACUCUCUGGUAUUCCGGAGAGUAUGCCUGUUUGAGGGUCAGUUAAAAUAAAAAUCGUUUUGGUUCCGGCCUUUCUUGUUAACGCACGGAAUUUUGUUGUUUUUUCCUUCGUUUAGUUAACCUAAAUUUUUGCAUGAUUUUUUUCGAACUUAAUUAAAUGAUUUUACUUAGGUUUGCGAUAUCGAUUACUAGGUUUGGUCAUCCUCAUGAUUCGCUCCUAUAAUUUUUCAUCAAAUUCACCUCAAAUCAGUUAAUAGUACCCCCUGAACUU
rnacentral:misc_RNA from 1 species